rnacentral:rRNA from 1 species
AGUGAACGCUGGCGGUAGGCCUAACACAUGCAAGUCGAACGGCAGCACAGUAAGAGCUUGCUCUUACGGGUGGCGAGUGGCGGACGGGUGAGGAAUACAUCGGAAUCUACUUUUUCGUGGGGGAUAACGUAGGGAAACUUACGCUAAUACCGCAUACGACCUACGGGUGAAAGCAGGGGAUCUUCGGACCUUGCGCGAUUGAAUGAGCCGAUGUCGGAUUAGCUAGUUGGCGGGGUAAAGGCCCACCAAGGCGACGAUCCGUAGCUGGUCUGAGAGGAUGAUCAGCCAAAUUGGAACUAGAAAACGGUCCAAACCCCUAGGGGAGGCAGCAGGGGGAAAUAUUGGAAAAGGGGCGAAAGCCUGAUCCAGCCAUACCGGGGGGGUGAAGAAGGCCUGCGGGUUGUAAAGCCUUUUUGUUGGGAAAAAAAAGCAGCAGGUUAACACCCCGCUGUUCUGACGGUACCCAAAGAAUAAGCACCGGCAAACUUCGU